rnacentral:lncRNA from 1 species
AUUAAUUGUAUUCUGAACCACUAAAAUACUAAGAAAUACUACAAUACUUUCUUCCAGUAAUAAUACUCCUUCAUCAACUGAUAUUAAUAGUGUGCAACCAUGCACUCUCAAAAGACUGCUCAAAAUACAAUAAUUUCAUCUAAUACCAAAAAUAACAGACUUCAUUCCAAUCAAUCUGAAUUCACAUAAUUUUUGUAAUCACAAACUUCCUCUGUCAAAACACACACAGCUCUCAAUAAACUACAAUCAUAAUCUUCCAAUAACUCUUCAUAUAAUUCAAUAACUCAGUGCUCUAAUUACAUAAUCAAUAACUCAUAAAUCAAUCUCUGAUUUAUUCCAUAGACUUACUUCACAGUAUUCAAAAACUAUCUAUUACUUUUCAACAAUAAAAAAACAAAGAAACAAAGAGGUAGCACCAAACUUAUCCCGACUCAUGACUAUCACAGUCUGGCACUUAGACUAACUUCUACAACUUCUAUAUACUUACUUCUUAUUCCUAGAUCCUAAUCAUAAUCCUUUUAAUAACUAAAUUAACCAUUUGUCUUCUU